rnacentral:rRNA from 1 species
GGUGGAGCCUGCGGUUUAAUCGGACUCAACGCCGGGAAACUCACCAGAUAAGACAGCUGAAUGAUAGUCGGGCUGAAGACUCUACUUGACUAGCUGAGAGGAGGUGCAUGGCCGUCGUCAGUUCGUACUGUGAAGCAUCCUGUUAAGUCAGGCAACGAGCGAGACCCACGCCAACAGUUGCCAGCUCGUCCUCCGGGAUGGUGGGGACACUGUUGGGACCGCCUCUGCUAAAGGGGAGGAAGGAAUGGGCAACGGUAGGUCAGCAUGCCCCGAAUUAUCUGGGCUACACGCGGGCUACAAUGGGUGGGACAAUGGGUAUCGACACCGAAAGGUGAAGGCAAUCUCCUAAACCCAUCCUUAGUUCGGAUUGUGGGCUGCAACUCGCCCACAUGAAGCUGGAAUCUGUAGUAAUCGUGUCUCAAAAUGGCACGGUGAAUACGUCCCCUGCUCCUU